GCAGACAGUUCAGUUGGUAGAGCGCCCGCCUUGUAAGCGGAAGCGCGUGGUUCGAAGCCCACGACCAGCA